rnacentral:tRNA from 1 species
AGAAACUUAGGUUAGACAAAACCAAGAGCCUUCAAAGCCCUAAACAGAGGACAAACGCCCCUAGUUUCUG